ACCAGUCAUGUCCACCAUAUUUCGGAAAUCGAACUGUGCCGUCGUGGACAUGCAUGGAAGUUUGCCAACUAUUCAGGACCGAAAAACACAUGGAAAUGUCUGCUGCUACAGUGUGAAGUUCUUCUGCUUAUGGUGGGAUCGUCAAAUAGUAACGGUUUAACAACCAACGGGUAACUUUUGCCCUCGACUAUCGUAUUUUUUAGCGAUUCCACGGCGUCAGCAGCUCGAGCUCGGACAAAUUCGCAACCUAACGUUACUGUUUCUCAUCAUGAUCAAUAAAUGGGGCAUUGAUGUCUGAAAACGUGUAUUGGCAGAAGUGGAGAAGCUGAUUACACAGCAGGAGAUGGAGCUCUUCAUGCAUCCCCCUGUCACCUGUCCAUAGAAUGGUCAAAGCACCAGCUUAAGUUGUUAACAACAUUUUUGGCUUGACAGAAGACUACAUGUACAUGUACAUGUACUGUAUAUAGAAAAAGUUGAAGUUGACAUGUAGAUUUGUUUAGGAGUAGAGUGUCCUGAUGGUUUGUAAAAUCUGUGUGGGGUUGUAUAAUAAUUGGUUCCUUUGAUGCCAAUUCCAUUUGAUACCAAGUCAUCUGACUCUGAGUGGCACAUGUAUACAGUUGUCGCAAGAAGCCUCUAAACCUGUAUAAAGCUAUAAUAGUAGUGCCAUAAUGUAUGCUGUAUUUAGCACAAUAUUUUAUAUUCUUCGAUACUGUAGUACUUUGUACUGAUAAGUGUAAUACUGUAUGUUGAGUAACAUUUGCAUAUGUUCAACCAUUUGUCUAGUUAGAUGUACCUGCAUUGAAUUGUUCUGCCAGUUCAUUCUAGCGACGCUGAAGAAUAGUGAUGGAUGUUA